AAUCUACUCCCUCCGUUCGGAAAUACCUGUCGCAAAAAUGAAUGUAUCUAAAUGUAUUUUAGUUCUAGAUAUAUCAAUUUUCGAGACAAGUAAUUCCGAACGGAGGGAGUAGGAU
rfam:Triticum aestivum genome assembly, contig: Triticum_aestivum_CS42_TGACv1_scaffold_322710_4BL